AUGUGCCGGAACCUAUCUUCAAUUUCGUCAAACUUCUGGUGGGGAGCAGCGAACGGUGAACGGAAGGUGCACUGGUUGUCGUGGGAGAAGAUGUGUACAACCAAGCGAGAAGGAGGGUUGGGGUUCAGAGAUCCUGUUGCGUUCAACCAAGCUUUGUUAGCUAAACAAGCGUGGCGAAUGUUACAAUACCCUGAUUCGUUAUGCGCUAGAGUUUUGAAGGAGAGAUGUUAUAAAGAUGGAACAAUUCUAAAUGCAACAUGUCCCGGCGGAGCAUCCUAUACUUUCAGGAGUAUAAUCUUUGGCCGUGAU
rnacentral:rRNA from 1 species